GCCCAUUGUGGGCCAAGGGAUCCUCCGCCUGGCAUCCCUGGUGCUGGGUGUGUGUCUUUGUUGGAGCUGAUUCCUUUUGCAGGGUAUUUUAUCUGCUUGAGCCUCUAGCCUCCAGCUCUGAGAUAACAGCAAAAAUGGUGGUGGAGAGGAAGAGCUCUUCAAGCAGAGUGAGAGGUAAGGAGCAUCCCGAGAUGAGCCCAGCUGAGGUGCUGCACAGACCUGAAUUGAUGCCUACACACCAGAGCUGUCACUUUGAUGACUUGUUUGGGCAGGAGUGGCAAUGGCUGGGUGAUAGAUUAUCCCCCCCCCCCCCCCCAGCCUUUCUCCAGCCACAAUGACAUCUGCUUUAUUCACAGUUCAGCCACCAGUUGCUACAACAACGCCAGCGGGCUGCAGAAAAUGUUGUUGAGCUGCUGAGAGAAUCUUGGCUACCCAUUAGCGAAAUGUUAACGAUGCAAAACCAAACAGCCCCUGGUUUUGUGGCAGGGAAGAAGUCACUGCUCCCCAAUAAGUAAGAAUGUCAAAAAGAAUUUACAUGCAAAAAAAAAAAAAGCAAGCAAAGCAGAGAAGGGGUUUAACCCAUGAUAUCACCGUGAUUCAAACCCUCCAGCACCACCCUCCCCUCGGAAUUCCUUAGCCAGACAUUAGGCCUGAAGAAUAGGGAAAAUAAAUAAUGAGUUUUCAAAAGAAAGAGCAAAUACACUUUCCUCUGAGCAGCUUGUUGUCUGCAGCACUGGGACAUGGCCGUUGCCCCUUCGCCUCCCCAGCUCAUUGUCUGCCAUUUUUACACAGUAAUCCUUUGCUAAUAGGGCUUUAUUUAUUUUUAUUUCUUUCUUUUCUUCCUGCUCUGCACUUGGAGGAGACAUUAGGAGCUGUUAAACCACGCUAGGAAACUGAUUUGGCUGCCAGGAAAGUCUCUUGCUUCCACUUCAGUAGGAGGUGAGAGAACCUCACGCUCCCAACGUAUUCCUUAGAAAGCCAAUUAUAGGAAAUCAUUUGGAGGAGAGCUGGCUUUGUGCUGCAGCCAAGGAUCUCAGCACUGUGUCUGGCAGCCAAGCGGGGCAUGCCGUGCCUCAGCAAUGCUGGGAAUGAGCCCACGUCCCCCUGAGAAGCUAACUGGGGGUAGCAAAGCAAAGACACAGUCACAGAA